AGGAUCUCAAGAGGACUUCGAGGGAACUCCCGGCGAAGCGUCUUAGAGCUAAUUUCUCAAACUUUGACUUUUGAUACUUGGUUUGGAAGUGGAAGUUCUGAGGCUUAAUUAGUGACCCCCAAAAAUAAUUUUUCCCCACAGGGCUCGAGGCCAAAGAAAGCGCUUGUAUUGAGUUAUUAGUGCCUGAAGGGAUAUCUCAUAUAUAAUUUGAAUUCGAUUCACUUGAUAAGUAUUUGAUGUAAUUAUUUGAGAACUGAGGACUUUUGUCUUAUUCGGGGAAUGAUACCCUUACUUGAGAUUUGUAAUGUAUCUUAUCUCGUUCUAAGUUUGAAAAAUGUUAUUUCGUUUA